rnacentral:tRNA from 1 species
UUAAUUAAAACCAAAUAGAGGUAUAUUAUUGUUAAUAAUAUUAUUGAUUGAAUAAUCUAAUUAAA